CCUAUAUUUGCUUACUAUUAUACUGUGUAUAACUGAAUUGAUAAUUUUUAGGGUCCUUUUGGUUAUUUGGUUAUUUAUUUUUACUGUUUUGUUUGUCAGUAUUCCGGUUAUUAGUUAUUUGGCUAUGUUAAACUAUAUUGUUAUUUAAGUAAACUGUGAGUAUGAAAUGAACUAUUGGUGUUGUGUGAUUGAUUGUUAUGCUGAUGGAAAUCUGUAUGGGAAAGACUUAUUGGGUACUUGAGAAAGGGCAGACGGACUCGGUACAUAGGGAACCCUACCGUGAACACUACCUCAGUCGGACGGAGUUGGAAAGUCCCUUACCUGUUAAGAUUUGGGAGAUAUGGUCCACCCUCAUACCGGAUGAGGUAUCGAAGUGGUAGAAUAUUUGGCACCCAUUACCGGACGGGGUAUGGGGACGGUCGGUUAAUUGUUAAAUUGGAUAUUGGGUUCACGAGUAGGAGACAUCCCUAUGGACCCACAGGAGUAUAGGUAAGCGGGUAAAAAUGAAAAAUGAUCGUCUUUUGUUAUCUUAUAUAUGAAAAUAAAAAGUGUAUAGAUAUGGGUUUUCACAAAUUAUUUUUGAAAAAACUUAUUACGUAAAUAUGGAGUAAAAAGCUUUCUUUAUAGUAAA
rnacentral:lncRNA from 1 species